CAUCUGUUUAAUUUUGGUCAGACGGAAAGAAUGGGUAAAUCGCAGUAAAACCAAAAUUUCUUCCAAAACUAAUUAGUUUGUUUAUUGCAUUCGAAACCCACCCAAUACCGAUCCAUAGCACGCAGUCUUGACACUGUCGAUCACUUUACCAAAAUAUAACACCUAGCUCGCUCUCUCAAAACGAGAUUGAAGACUGAAUCUUCUCAGAGACAUCAUCCAUGUUUGGCCUCUGUAACCUCGCUCACCAUGGCUCCAGGGUGGACUGCUCUACGAACCACCAUUUGUUGCUGCGAUCAUGGUUGGAGGACUGAAGAUAGAUUCUUUUAAGGAUGAAAAUGAUGCGAGCAUUUUCAAGGAAGAAUAAUGAUCUGAGAAUUUUCAGAGGUUUAAUUUGGGACACCAACUGGAUUCGAUCUACGAAAACCCUCUGCUUUUCAUAACUCACAGUUGCUAGAGUUAGCCGGAUGCGCAACACGAGCCUCCAAAUUUCUGGGCUGAUCCUAUUUUCUUAGCAGUCAUGGAUUUGAUCAAGGUUUUUGUGAUAUAGACCAAAAUCAAGUGCAUCCAAGGAGACCGUGAUAUUUUGAAGUCCACUAGGGAUGGAAGUUUGGGCACACCCCAAAGCCGUCACAAGGUCAUAGUAAACCCGGCUGCUUAGAAGUUACUUUCUUCAUCUGGGUCUGGGAACAUAAGUAGACCUUCAUAAGUUGCUGCACUAUUACAGCCAACGAGAAAGAACUUGUUUUUUGCCAAGAUGGUAUAAGAAGGCGGCAGCUCCAGUGUGCUUGUGCUGUUGGCUAUCUUUACACUCUUGUUGUCGUAACAAUCUCGGGCUACGGCUUGCAUGACUUGCAACUCAGCCUAGAAAAGGAAAAGUUAGCUCUGACUAUGGGAAAAGUAUAGGUACUAUUUGCAAAGUUUGUUGACAUGGGUGUAGUAGAUCCAUCACAAGUGAUGUUGAAUUCUGGACGCAGGUAGCAGCCAUCGCCUAUCCCAAAUGGAUAUGGGAUUGUUAUAUCAGCACACUUUUCUGCACAACCAAGUAAGGCUUGAGCCGCUGCUCUUGUUGUUACAGCUGCCAAUAAUAUCGCCAAAGAGAGGGUUCAUCAUUUGCAUCCUCCAGUGUAAAAAGGCCAUGACAAGUACUUUAACUAGUAUUCGAUUCCUUUUACACCUGAAGCCAAUAAUGGUAACAGAUGGAAUAAUAGUUUACAAAUUGUACUGCUUAAUAAAGUUCCUUUUUUUUUUUUUUUGAAAUAACAGGGUUUGGAACUUAGUCAAGCUGGGAGGCUUAUCCCACACCUAUAUUAUUAUUUAGGAUUAAAUUCAGUUUAGUCCCUCAAAUUUUAGGCCAAACAUCAAUUUGGUCCCUCA